AUUUAAGAUGCAAUAUUCUGUGUAGGAAUCUUAGUGGUAGUUAAACUUCAAAAUCCAUAUUUUAUGUAACUAAUGUUACUAAUUAUACUACAAUUUGGCAUGAGUUGGACAGACAGAAGUCCUAAUCAGUACAAUUCUUUAGAGAGUUCCCAAAGUUGAUUUCAGUCUGUAUAGGCAUGAUUCUUUCAGUGCUGUUGUCAGGGGGAGGAAGCAUUUGAAUGUUAUUAUGAAAGUGAAAAUAUACAUUCUUGGAUUGAAUAAUUAUAAGACUAAUUAGUUAAAAAUUUUGGACAUUGCUUCAAUACAAGAUGGAGAGAGGUUUUGCAACUUGGUGAGUGUAAAAAUUUUGAAAAAAAAAAAAAAAAAAAAUAUAUUUUUAUUUUCUAAA
rnacentral:lncRNA from 1 species